GACGAACGCUGGCGGCGUGCCUAAUACAUGCAAGUUGAGCGAUGAAGAUUGGUGCUUGCACCAAUUUGAAGAGCAGCGAACGGGUGAGUAACGCGUGGGGAAUCUGCCUUUGAGCGGGGGACAACAUUUGGAAACGAAUGCUAAUACCGCAUAACAACUUUAAACAUAAGUUUUAAGUUUGAAAGAUGCAAUUGCAUCACUCAAAGAUGAUCCCGCGUUGUAUUAGCUAGUUGGUGAGGUAAAGGAUCACCAAGGCGAUGAUACAUAGCCGACCUGAGAGGGUGAUCGGCCACAUUGGGACUGAGACACGGCCCAAACUCCUACGGGAGGCAGCAGUAGGGAAUCUUCGGCAAUGGACGAAAGUCUGACCGAGCAACGCCGCGUGAGUGAAGAAGGUUUUCGGAUCGUAAAACUCUGUUGGUAGAGAAGAACGUUGGUGAGAGUGGAAAGCUCAUCAAGUGACGGUAACUACCCAGAAAGGGACGGCUAACUACGUG
rnacentral:rRNA from 1 species